rnacentral:lncRNA from 13 species
CUCUGGUAUCCCCAGUAUACUAGUCAGUAUAUCUGUUGUAUCCCCAGAACACUAGGCAGUAUGUCUGUUGUAUCCUCAGUACACUAUUCAGUAUAUCUCACUGGUAUCCCCAGUACACUAGGCAGUAUAUCUCACUGGUAUCCCCAGUACACUAGGCAGUAUAUCUGUUGUAUCCCCAGUACACUAGGCAGUAUAUCUGUUGUAUCCCCAGAACACUAGGCAGUAUAUCUCACUUGUAUCCCCAGAACACUAGGCAGUAUAUCUCACUGGUAUCCCCAGUACACUAGGCAGUAUAUCUCACUGGUAUCCCCAGUACACUAGGCAGUAUAUCUCACUGGUGUCCCCAGUACACUAGGCAAUAUAUCUCACUGGUAUCCCCCAUACAUUUAAGCAAUAAGGCC